rnacentral:rRNA from 1 species
GAUGAACGCUGGCGGCGCGCCUAACACAUGCAAGUCGAACGAUUAAAGCACCUUCGGGUGUGUAUAAAGUGGCGAACGGCUGAGUAACACGUGGGCAACCUGCCCCUCUCAUUGGGAUAGCCACGGGAAACCGUGGAUAAUACCGAAUACUUCGGGACUUCCUCCUGGAAGACUCGAGAAAGCUCCGGCGGAGAGGGAUGGGCCCGCGGCCUGUUAGCUUGUUGGUGGGGUAAUGGCCUACCAAGGCAAUGAUGGGUAGCUGGGUUGAGAGACCGACCAGCCAGAUUGGGACUGAGACACGGCCCAGACUCCUACGGGAGGCAGCAGUGGGGAAUCUUGCACAAUGGGCGAAAGCCUGAUGCAGCGACGCCGCGUGCGGGAUGAAGGCCUUCGGGUUGUAAACCGCUUUCAGCAGGGACGAGGCGAAAGUGACGGUACCUGCAGAAGAAGCCCCGGCUAACUACGUG